rnacentral:rRNA from 1 species
AACUUUCAGCUAGAGUAUGAUAGAGGAAAGCAGAAUUCUAGUGUAGAGGUGAAAUUCGUAGAUAUUAGAAAGAAUACCAAUUGCGAAGGCAGCUUUCUGGAUCAUUACUGACACUGAGGAACGAAAGCAUGGGUAGCGAAGAGGAUUAGAUACCCUCGUAGUCCAUGCCGUAAACGAUGUGUGUUAGACGUUGGAAAUUUAUUUUCAGUGUCGCAGGGAAACCGAUAAACACACCGCCUGGGGAGUACGACCGCAAGGUUAAAACUCAAAUGAAUUGACGGGGACCCGCACAAGUAGUGGAGCAUGUGGUUUAAUUCGAAGAUACGCGCAGAACCUUACCAACACUUGACAUGUUCGUCGCGACUCUAAGAGAUUAGAGUUUUCGGUUCGGCCGGACGAAACACAGGUGCUGCAUGGCUGUCGUCAGCUCGUGUCGUGAGAUGUUGGGUUAAGUCCCGCAACGAGCGCAACCCUCACUUUUAGUUGCCAUCAUUAAGUUGGGCACUCUGAAAGAACUGCCAGUGAUAAGCUGGAGGAAGGUGGGGAUGACGUCAAGUCCUCAUGGCCCUUACGUGUUGGGCUACACACGUGCUACAAUGGUAUCUACAACAGGAAGCAAGACUGCGAAGUUAAGCAAAUCCCUAAAAGAUACCUCAGUUCGGAUUGCACUCUGCAACUCGAGUGCAUGAAGCUGGAAUUACUAGUAAUCGUGGAUCAGCGUGCCACGGUGAAUGCGUUCCCGGGUCUUGUACACACCGCCCGUCACACCAUGGGAGUUGGUUCUACCUUAAGGCAAGGUUUCAAACCCUUGACCACGGUAUAGUCAGCGACUGGGGUGAAGUCGUAACAAGGUAACCGUA